GCAGAUGGAGUACUUUCAAACUCCUGACACUGUGAUAGACCCUAGUUUCUGUGGGCUUGUGACUGAAUCUGACAGAAGGUGCAUCCUGCACAGGCAGAGGGCGGGCAAGUUUGUGGCAUUUGAAGGCACUGACACUGGCAGGAGAUUCAUAGGAUGUGCUACUGAGGAUGGUGUGAACUGUGGUGUUCUGGAGUGGGUAGAUGCCCCCUGG